CAGUUAAUAGUUUAUUAAAAUAGUAAUUUUGGAGAUUACUGAUGAAUAAGUUUUAUUCUUAUCUGA
rnacentral:tRNA from 1 species